GAAAAUGGUAGGUCGUUCCCAGCUUUCACGAGAACACCGUGGAAGUAGCUCUCACGCGCGCUCAGCUCCCCUCCAGGAGGCCGCUUGCGCCAAGGAGGAGCAUUCACAGCGCCCUGUCUUGAAUAUGUCAUUGGAGAGUGAACUGCUCCAAGACAGAGACUGUUACUGGUCUGGCUUGCGAGAGAAUCCUGAAGCCUGAAAGGUCUGCUGGGACGUGCUUCAGAAGGCCUUGUUUCCCAGCUCACCGGAUCA